GACGUAGGGCGCGAGCGUUGUCCGGAUUUAUUGGGCGUAAAGGGCUCGUAGGCGGUUUGUCGCGUCGGGAGUGAAAACUCAGGGCUUAACCCUGAGCCUGCUUCCGAUACGGGCAGACUAGAGGUAUGCAGGGGAGAAUGGAAUUCCUGGUGUAGCGGUGAAAUGCGCAGAUAUCAGGAGGAACACCGGUGGCGAAGGCGGUUCUCUGGGCAUUACCUGACGCUGAGGAGCGAAAGUGUGGGGAGCGAACGGG
rnacentral:rRNA from 1 species